rnacentral:lncRNA from 1 species
CGGGGGCAGAGCGCCUGUCAGAAGCGAGCAUGUGCAGUUUGCACCGCAUCCGUACUAUGGGUGAGUGCGGCCGCCGCCGCUUGGGGCUGGGUUCGGUGGGGCAGCAGCGGCUGCAGCUCCCCGGGCCCCGCGCCGCCCCGGCGGCCGCGGACACUGGAUGCGGGAAUAGUCGCGGGCGGGUGGCGUGGGGGAGGCUCGUCCGGUCACUCGGCGCGGGGGGAGCCGGAGCGCCGGGCGUGGGGGCAGGGAACAGGCGGCGCAGGAGAGCGCCCCGAGUCCCGGCGCGGAGGAGGAGCGGGAGCCAGCCCGUGAGACCGCGCUCCUGGCCGCACCUGCGUCGGGCAGACGGCCGCCCGACCCUGCCUUGCCUUGCCCUACCCUCGUCCCCGGCCCCGCACCGAGACACAUGAAAGCCAUCCUUCAACCAGUCAAGAAUUAACUGAGCACUGGGGUGAAUGCUUGUCUACAUUGCUGAGAAUGGCGUCAAGGUCCAGUCUGAUACCAAGACGAGGUUAAAUUGGGACAGAGCUGCACAGUGAUCCUGAUGUCUGUUCCCAGCUACGCAGUCAAGACCGUGAUAAGUGAGUAUGCCCCAGACAUGUAGGGGAAUCACUGGCCCAGUCUGCCUUCCUAUUUGGCAUUUUAUCAGCACGGGUACAGGUCUAAGGGUUCAAGUUCUCAGCUUGCUUCCUGUCCAAGGGCUUGUCACAGGAAUGGGAGGUGAGCACUGAGCAGUCUCAGGCUAUGCCACUAUUGGAGCCAUCUUAUGACUUCUAAGACUUGGCCAGACCCAGAUUGGAUGACCAGGAUAAAAACUAGACACCUGGGAGAGUGUGUCUUCAUGUUCUGACUCAAGAAGCUCCUGGGUGCUUUCCAUCCAAGUAGUGGGGGCUAUGUCUUACCUAGAAUCCGAAUUCUGCCCCAUACUAUGAACAGUUAAUGUACUGGCCCUCAAGGAGUUGGGCUCCUAAGUCCAGACAAACCACACAGGGUGAAAGGUCUUGACUGCAGAGCAUGGUGUUCUUAUCUGGCCUCUAGCCCAGUCUCUGCCUCUCUGGCUUUUCUUUGAUGAUACUUUAAAGAAUGGCAAUUGGAUGCUUUCCCUAACCCCUGAGGCCCAAAGACCAUUACGUCAGUGCAGAGCAGGCAACACAAUGGUGGUAUUGGGGAUCAGAAAGAAGGAAGCUCCAGAAAGUCAGGGUAGGUAGUUGGCACGUAGGCUGUUUUGGCACUGAGACCAGCUUGAUUGGAUAGCCUCUAAGAAGCCCAUAGGCUGGUCCCUUGGAGCCCAGAGCUGAUUCCAUACUGGUAUAUGCAGAGAUUGGGAAACAAGGUAACUGGGUUAUUUCUCAGCUGUAGAUAGAUUUUGACUCUCCUAGCUGAGGUCAGAAUCUAUUUACCAGUUCACUU